rnacentral:rRNA from 1 species
UACAGAGGGGGCAAGCGUUAUUCGGAAUUAUUGGGCGUAAAGGGCGCGUAGGCGGCUUGGCAAGUGGAUGGUGAAAUCCCUCGGCUUAACCGAGGAACUGCCGUCCAAACUGCUUCGCUUGAGACCGGGAGAGGUGAGUGGAAUUCCCAGUGUAGCGGUGAAAUGCGUAGAUAUUGGGAGGAACACCAGUGGCGAAGGCGGCUCACUGGACCGGUACUGACGCUGAUGCGCGAAAAGCGUGGGGAGCAAACGGGG